rnacentral:tRNA from 1 species
GGAGAGGUGCCAGAGCGGUUGAAUGGGCUCGUCUCGAAAACGAGUGUAGGUGACGAAUCUACCGAGAGUUCGAAUCUCUCCCUCUCCG